rnacentral:rRNA from 1 species
CGCGAGCUGGGUUUAGAACGUCGUGAGACAGUUCGGUCCCUAUCUGCCGUGGGCGCUGGAGAAUUGAGGGGGGCUGCUCCUAGUACGAGAGGACCGGAGUGGACGCAUCACUGGGGUUCGGGUUGUCAUGCCAAUGGCACUGCCCGGUAGCUAAAUGCGGAAGAGAUAAGUGCUGAAAGCAUCUAAGCACGAAACUUGCCCCGAGAUGAGUUCUCCCUGAGACUUUAAGUCUCCUGAAGGAACGUUGAAGACGACGACGUUGAUAGGCCGGGUGUGUAAGCGCAGCGAUGCGUUGAGCUAACCGGUACUAAUGAACCGUGAGGCUUAACCUUACAACGCCGAAG